rnacentral:rRNA from 1 species
AUUGAACGCUGGCGGCAUGCCUUACACAUGCAAGUCGAACGGCAGCACGGGAGCAAUCCUGGUGGCGAGUGGCGAACGGGUGAGUAAAGUAUCGGAACGUGCCCAGUCGUGGGGGAUAACGUAGCGAAAGUUACGCUAAUACCGCAUACGAUCUAUGGAUGAAAGCGGGGGAUCGCAAGACCUCGCGCGAUUGGAGCGGCAGAUAUCAGAUUAGGUAGUUGGUGGGGUAAAGGCUCACCAAGCCGACGAUCUGUAGCUGGUCUGAGAGGACGACCAGCCACACUGGGACUGAGACACGGCCCAGACUCCUACGGGAGGCAGCAGUGGGGAAUUUUGGACAAUGGGCGAAAGCCUGAUCCAGCCAUGCCGCGUGCAGGAUGAAGGCCUUCGGGUUGUAAACUGCUUUUAUACGGAACGAAAAGGUUUGGCCUAAUAAGCUGAGCUCAUGACGGUACCGUAAGAAUAAGCACCGGCUAACUACGUGCCAGCAGCCGCCGUAA